UUGCUGGGGCAACGAACGCCUGCGUGAAGUCCGUGGGGACAGGCGUGGAUACCGUGCAGUUGCACAGCGCCAUAUCCGUCUUUUAAAGUUACGAGUUUCUUCUUUUUUUUCCCCCCAAUCUAUCUCUCUGAAAAGGACGACAGUGACGCCCGCGUACAUAAAAGAGCAGUCCCGUUGAAAGAUGGCACAGACAGACCCCACAGCAAACGUCUUGAUAACAGAAACGUCGGACCUGAGCACCAAAGGCAUCUCACCAUACGAAGACCCUUAUGAGCGUUCGGUGAAGUACAUGGAGAAGCAUAACAUCCUCCAGAUCUUUCAGGAGAUGACAGAAAACUUGGUUUUCAAGAGGCCUGAGGAUCCUCUUCAGUUUAUGUUAGAACAGGUACAAAUGAAGAUCAGAAACAAGCAGGAAUCAGAAAAAACAUCCGAAGAUGAUGUGCAGUCAUAACCAUUCACUAAAUCAAGAAAAAAGAUCAGUCAUUUGUGAUUUAAUUCAGGUCUUUAUUAGCUUUUGCAUAAGGCAGCAUGAGAAAUCAUUAUUUAUUAAAUACAGGACCUCUGCUCAGUUUUAAUUUACUGGGAAUAAAAAAAA